AGUGAACGCUGGCGGCGUGCCUAAUACAUGCAAGUCGAGCGGAGCGGCGGACGGGCGAGUAAUGCCUAGGCAUCUGCCUGGUAGUGGGGGAUAACGUCCGGAAACGGGCGCUUAUACCGCAUACUAUCAGAUGAGCUUAGGUCGGUUUAUCUGGUUGGUGGGGUAAAGGCCUACCAAGGCGACGAUCCGUAACUGGUCUGAGAGGAUGAUCAGUCACAAUGGAACUGAACCACGGUCGGGAAUCCUACGUAAGGCAGCAGUGGGCAAUUUUGGAAAAGUGGCGAAAGCCUGAUCCAGCCCUGCGGCGUGUGUGAUGAAGGUCUUCGGAUUGUAAAGCACUUUAAGUUGGGAGGCGUUACCAACAGAAUAAGCACCGGCAAACUUCGUGCCAGCAGCCGCGGUAAUUC
rnacentral:rRNA from 1 species